UGCUUGCACUAAAUGAAACUAGAUACAAGCGAGCGGCGGACGGGUGAGUAACACGUUGGGUAACCUGCCCAAGAGACUGGGAUAACACCUGGAAACAGAUGCUAAUACCGGAUAACAACACUAGACGCAUGUCUAGAGUUUGAAAGAUGGUUCUGCUAUCACUCUUGGAUGGACCUGCGGUGCAUUAGCUAGUUGGUAAGGUAACGGCUUACCAAGGCAAUGAUGCAUAGCCGAGUUGAGAGACUGAUCGGCCACAUUGGGACUGAGACACGGCCCAAACUCCUACGGGAGGCAGCAGUAGGGAAUCUUCCACAAUGGACGAAAGUCUGAUGGAGCAACGCCGCGUGAGUGAAGAAGGGUUUCGGCUCGUAAAGCUCUGUUGGUAGUGAAGAAAGAUAGAGGUAGUAACUGGCCUUUAUUUGACGGUAAUUACUUAGAAAGUCACGGCUAACUACGUGCCAGCAGCCGCGGUAAUACGUAGGUGGCAAGCGUUGUCCGGAUUUAUUGGGCGUAAAGCGAGUGCAGGCGGUUCAAUAAGUCUGAUGUGAAAGCCUUCGGCUCAACCGGAGAAUUGCAUCAGAAACUGUUGAACUUGAGUGCAGAAGAGGAGAGUGGAACUCCAUGUGUAGCGGUGGAAUGCGUAGAUAUAUGGAAGAACACCAGUGGCGAAGGCGGCUCUCUGGUCUGCAACUGACGCUGAGGCUCGAAAGCAUGGGUAGCGAACAGGAUUAGAUACCCUGGUAGUCCAUGCCGUAAACGAUGAGUGCUAAGUGUUGGGGAGGUUUCCGCCUCUCAGUGCUGCAGCUAACGCAUUAAGCACUCCGCCUGGGGAGUACGACCGCAAGGUUGAAACUCAAAGGAAUUGACGGGGGGCCCGCACAAGCGGUGGAGCAUGUGGUUUUAAUUCGAAGCAACGCGAAGAACCUUACCAGGUCUUGACAU
rnacentral:rRNA from 1 species